ensembl:snRNA U4 U4 spliceosomal RNA
AGCUUUGCGCAGUGACAGUAUCGUAGCCAAUGAGGUUCAUCCGAGGCAUCAUUAUUGCUAAUUGAGGUAUUUAUUUUAUCACUAUUCAUAAUGCAACACAUAAAUUAUGUGAUAUAAAUAGCAGUACCAAUAUGGU